AAGGGCGCAUGGCGGAUGCCUUGGCUCUCGGAGGCGAUGAAGGACGUGAUAAGCUGCGAUAAGCUUUGGGGAGGUGCAAAUGACCUUUGAUCCAGAGAUUUCCGAAUGGGACAACCCAAUAUCUUGAAGAGGUAUUAUCUUACUAUGUAAGAGGCUAACGCAGGGAACUGAAACAUCUUAGUACCUGCAGGAAAAGAAAAUAAACAAUGAUUCCCCCAGUAGUGGCGAGCGAACGGGGAACAGCCCAAACCAUCCAUGUUACGGCAUGGGUGGGGUUGUAGGACUACGCCGUUGCAUGAAGACAUCAGAGAAGAACUUUCUGGAAAGAAAGACCAUAGAGCAUGACAGUUGCGUAUUCGAAUGUUGUCGAAGCAUAGUAGUAUCCUGAGUAGCGCGGAGCACGAGGAAUUCUGCGUGAAUCUGCCGGGACCAUCCGGUAAGGCUAAAUACUCCCGAGAGACCGAUAGCGAACCAGUACCGUGAGGGAAAGGUGAAAAGCACUUCGAACAGAAGAGUGAAAUAGUUCCUGAAACCGUGCGCCUACAAGCGGUCGGAGCUCGUUAAUGAGUGACGGCGUGCCUUUUGCAUAAUGAACCUACGAGUUGCCUUUGCCGGCAAGGUUAAGUGUGACGACACACGUAUCCGAAGCGAAAGCGAGUCUGAACAGGGCGUAUAGUCGGCAGUGGCAGACGCGAAACCAAGUGAUCUACCCUUGGCCAGGUUGAAGGCUGGGUAACACCAGCUGGAGGACCGCACCAAUAAGCGUUGAAAAGCUUCUGGAUGAGCUGAGGGUAGGGGUGAAAGGCUAAUCAAACUUGGAGAUAGCUCGUACUCCCCGAAAUGCAUUUAGGUGCAGCCUUGCGGGUUACUGAUGUGAGGUAGAGCGACUGAUAAGAUGCGAGGGCUUCACCGCCUAUCAAGUCUUGACAAACUCCGAAUGCGCAUCAGUUCUACCGCAGGAGUGAGGGCAUGGGUGCUAAGGUCCGUGCCCGAGAGGAGAAGAAUCCGGACCACCUGCUAAGGUCCCGAAAUGACAGCUAAGUUAAACUAACGAAGUCUGACUGCUAAGACAGCUAGGAUGUUGGCUUGGAAGCAGCCAUUCAUUUAAAGAGUGCGUAACAGCUCACUAGUCGAGGAGUCGGGCGUGGAUAAUAAUCGGGUAUCAAGUUGUCUACCGAAGCAGUGGGAUCAUUAAUAUGAUCGGUAGGGGAGCAUUCCAGUCGGCGUCGAAGGCGUACCGUGAGGUAUUCUGGAGCGUCUGGAAAAGCAAAUGUAGGUAUAAGUAACGAUAAAGGGGGCGGGAAACCCCCUCGCCGAAAGACUAAGGUUUCCUGAUCAACGCUAAUCGGAUCAGGGUCAGUCGGGUCCUAAGGCUCAGCCGAACGGCGAUGCCGAUGGCAGAAACGGUUAAUAUUCCGUUACUACCUUCAGGAGUGACGUGGAGACGCAGUAGUGACAGUGCCGCCAUCUGACGGAAUAGAUGGUUGAAGGGUGUAGGAGUCGAUCAUGGCAGGCAAAUCCACCAUGAGAUCCGAACCUGAUAGUAUGCCGCGUCCUUCGGGACAAGGCAAUAGUGCGCGUAAGCAUGCUGCCGAGAAAAUCCGCUAAACUUAAUCCUGGAGGUACCCGUACCGCAAACGGACACACGUAGUCGGGAUGAAUAUUCUAAGGCGCUUGAGUGAUUCACGGUUAAGGAACUAGGCAAACUGACCCUGUAACUUCGGGAUAAAGGGUCCCUACCCUUUUAUGGGAGGGCGCAGAGAAUCGGUCCAGGCAACUGUUUAACAAAAACACAGGGCUGUGCCAAAUCGAAAGAUCCAGUAUACAGCCUGACACCUGCCCGGUGCUGGAAGGUUAAGAGGAGAUGUCAUCGAUAAGAGAAGCGUUGAAUUGAAGCCCCAGUAAACGGCGGCCGUAACUAUAACGGUCCUAAGGUAGCGAAAUUCCUUGUCGGGUAAGUUCCGACCUGCACGAAUGGUGUAAUGAUCUGGACGCUGUCUCAACCGUGAGCUCAGUGAAAUUGUAGUAUCGGUGAAGAUGCCGAUUACCCGCGAUGGGACGAAAAGACCCCGUGAACCUUUACUAUAGCUUAUCAUUGAAUCUGGGCACGUGAUGUGUAGGAUAGGUCGGAGGCUUUGAAGCAGGUACGCCAGUAUUUGUGGAGCCGCUGUUGAAAUACGACCCUUUAUUUGUUUGGAUUCUAACCCGUGGAUACGGGGACAUUGAUUGGUGGGUAGUUUGACUGGGGUGGUCGCCUCCAAAAGCGUAACGGAGGCUUCUAAAGGUGCCCUCCGGCCGAUUGGUAACCGGCCUUAGAGUGUAAUGGCAUAAGGGCGCUUGACUGGGAGACUGACAAGUCGAUCAGGUAGGAAACUAGAGCAUAGUGAUCCGGUGUUUCCGUAUGGAAGGGACAUCGCUCAAAGGAUAAAAGGUACUCCGGGGAUAACAGGCUGAUCCCUCCCAAGAGCUCAUAUCGACGGAGUGGUUUGGCACCUCGAUGUCGGCUCGUCACAUCCUGGGGCUGGAGAAGGUCCCAAGGGUUGGGCUGUUCGCCCAUUAAAGUGGCACGCGAGCUGGGUUCAGAACGUCGUGAGACAGUUCGGUCUCUAUCUAUCGUGGGCGUAUGAAAUUUGCGUGGCUCUGACACUAGUACGAGAGGACCGUGUUGGACAGACCUCUGGUUUGCCGGUUGUGCCGCCAGGUGCAUUGCCGGGUAUCUAAGUCUGGAUCGGAUAAGUGCUGAAAGCAUCUAAGUACGAAGCCGGCCACAAGAUUAGAUUUCUCAGGGUCGUUGUAGACUACGACGUUGAUAGGAUGCAGGUGUAAAGAUGGAGACAUCAAAGCCGAGCAUUACUAAUUGCCCGUUCACUUUCCUUA
rnacentral:rRNA from 1 species